GACAGAGGGUGCAAACGUUGCUCGGAAUUACUGGGCGUUAAGCGCGUGUAGGCGGACUGGUGUGUCGGAUGUGAAAUCCCCAGGCUCAACCUGGGAACUGCAUUCGAAACUGCCAGCCUUGAGUGGUGGAGAGGGAAGUGGAAUUCCUGGUGUAGAGGUGAAAUUCGCAGAUAUCAGGAGGAACACCGGUGGCGAAGGCGCCACUCUGGGCCGGUACUGACGCUGAGGAGCGAAAGCGUGGGUAGCAAACAGG
rnacentral:rRNA from 1 species